AUUGUGACUCCAGACCAUUACCUGGCACCGGGUCUGAUUUCUGGCAUUCCUAUCAGAGCCUGAGUCACAGACAGUACCUUAGACUCUAAGCUUAGGCACCUUGUGCCUUGUUUUUGUGGCUAAGGAUUCUCAGAGUUGUAGGAUGCUGACAAAGUUUAUCCCAAAGGCUCUGAUUGUACUUUCUCCACAAGCUUCAGCAUGGCAGUAUCUCUCACCACUUGUUUUGGUCCAAGGGCAGAAAUGAGCAUCCUGGAAACCAAUCAGUACUUGCUCUCUGAACUGGAAAAGUGCAAAGAGAACUUCCGAGACCUCACAGAGAAAUUCCUGACAUCCAAAGCUACUGCCUACUCCCUGGCCAAUCACCUGCAGAAAUAUAAGUGUGAAGAGUGCAAAGACCUUAUAGAAUCUGUGCUGGAGGAGGAGCUGCAGUUUCAGGAGAGGGAGCUGACCAAAUUGCCAAGGCCAGCAGCAAGGCUCCGGAUACAUGAUCCCUUAAUUCAGGCUCAGGCUGAAGAACUGACCCACUUACGACAGAAGAUACAAGAAGGGAGAGGUGUCUGCUACCUUUUCACCCAGCAUGUGAAGAACACAGUCAAGUCUUUUGAGGGCCUUCUCAGGAACACUGGCAUUGCCUACUACCAGAGACAGAGAUUCUGUGAGCAAAUGGUACAAGGAAGCCAGCUAACAGAGAUCCUUGUCAGAAAACUUGCCACAGAAUCAACCCCAAUGCUCACUAACAAACUGAGAAGAAAAAAAAAGAAUUACCCCCAACAACAUCUGAGGAAGUAGAACAGGGACAGACUUGAAGGCACCUGGGCAGUCCUCUGGUUUUGGAGUAGAGGUAGGACAGGGCUAUUUGUCCUCUCAGAGACUGGAGCAGGUUCUGUGUGUGAGUAGCAAUGGGACAAACAGUCGUGGUCUGGCAACCAGCCUGUAGCAGGAAGGAAGGUUACAACGGGAGAAGUCCAAAGGGCAGCCAGGCAAGUAUUCUUUGAGCUGGGGAACAAAAGGCAUUUUAAACUUUUUGCUCUGCUUCAGGCAGCUGACGUCUGGUGAUGAUUCACCAUAUCAGGAACACCCUGUCCAGUGGGCUCAGGCAAGCCUGCCAGGCCACUUCUCUAAAGACACAACCUGAGGCCUCCUGCAAUAAUUCUCACAGAGCAUUCUGAACAUACAUAAAAUCACAAUGGUAAGAAAAUGAAGACAGGCAAAAGCCACUGGCUCCCAGGUAACUCUACAUGAUGAAGGGGCUGAUAAUGGACUGACCAAAUCUAGAGAGAAUUCCAGAAGCAAGGACUCAAGAGGUUAAAGGUCCCAGAUCUAGAAAAAGCAGAAACUGCUGAUUGUUCCUUUUUUUGUUGACUGAUUAUACAAUGUGUCCUUUUAAAAAUGGUUCUCUGUUCUCUUUGCA